rnacentral:rRNA from 1 species
UACGUAGGUGGCAAGCGUUGUCCGGAAUUAUUGGGCGUAAAGCGCGCGCAGGCGGCCUUUUAAGUCUGAUGUGAAAGCCCACGGCUCAACCGUGGAAGGUCAUUGGAAACUGAAAGGCUUGAGUACAGAAGAGGAAAGCGGAAUUCCACGUGUAGCGGUGAAAUGCGUAGAGAUGUGGAGGAACACCAGUGGCGAAGGCGGCUUUCUGGUCUGUAACUGACGCUGAGGCGCGAAGGCGUGGGGAGCGAACGGG